CGCGUAGGCGGCUUGGCAAGUCUGACGUGAAAUGUACCGGUUCAACCGGGGCGCCGUGUCAGAAACUGCCAGGCUUGAGGUCGAGGGAGGAGAGUGGAAUUCCUGGUGUAGCGGUGAAAUGCGUAGAUAUCAGGAGGAACACCCGUGGCGAAGGCGGCUCUCUAUCUCGAAUCUGACGCUGAGGCGCGAAAGCUAGGGGAGCAAAC
rnacentral:rRNA from 1 species